CUGCUGCCUCCCGUAGGAGUUUGGGCCGUGUCUCAGUCCCAAUGUGGCCGUCCACCCUCUCAGGCCGGCUACUGAUCGUCGCUUUGGUGGGCCGUUACCCCGCCAACUGGCUAAUCAGACGCGGGCCCAUCCUGCACCGCCGCAGCUUUCAAAAAUAUAUCAUGCAAUAUAUUUUAUUAUGCGGUAUUAGCACCUAUUUCUAAGUGUUAUCCCCCAGUGCAGGGCAGGUUGCCCACGCGUUACCUCACCCGUCCCG
rnacentral:rRNA from 1 species